ensembl:snoRNA U3 Small nucleolar RNA U3
CAGGUUAUACUUUCAAAUGUCAUUUCUAUAGUUUCUUACUAGGGAAGUUUCUCUGAAUGUGUAUAGUAACAAAAUCCACAAGAGGUAAUGUUUUCUCUUGAUUGUCAACCGCUGUUUGACACUGAUGAUCGUUCUUUCUCUCUUACUUUCUGAGAGUAAGAGAACAUUGUGUAAGUGGA